AACGCACGAGACCUGCGGACCUGCGGAAGGAUCAUUAAUGAGAAACUGCCCCUCGCGGGUAGAUCUCCCACCCUUUGUAAACUUACCUUUGUUGCUUUGGCAGGCCCGUCUCCGGACCGCCGGCUUCGGCUGGCCAGUGCCUGCCAGAGGAUUCUAAAACUCUGUCUGUCAGUGUUGUCUGAGUCUAUGUACAAUUUAAAACUUUCAGCAAUGGAUCUCU
rnacentral:misc_RNA from 1 species